CGAGUUUGAUCCUGGCUCAGAACGGACGCUGGCGGCGUGGAUAAGACAUGCAAGUCGCACGGAGAAAAGAUAGUUUACUAGCUUUUCUGAGUGGCGCACGGGUGAGUAACACGUGAGCAACCUGCCUCUUAGUGGGGGAUAGCCCUGGGAAACCGGGAUUAAUACCGCAUAUCAUCGCAAGAUGAAAGCAGCAAUGCGCUAAGAGAGGGGCUCGCGGCCUAUUAGUUAGUUGGUGAGGUAACGGCUCACCAAGGCGAUGACGGGUAGCCGGUCUGAGAGGAUGUCCGGCCACACUGGAACUGAGACACGGUCCAGACACCUACGGGUGGCAGCAGUCGAGAAUCAUUCACAAUGGGGGAAACCCUGAUGGUGCGACGCCGCGUGGGAGAAGAAGGUCUUCGGAUUGUAAACCCCUGUCAUGUGGGAGCAAGCUAGCAAUAGUUGAUAGUACCACAAGAGGAAGAGACGGCUAACUCUGUGCCAGCAGCCGCGGUAAUACAGAGGUCUCAAGCGUUGUUCGGAAUCACUGGGCGUAAAGGGUACGUAGGCUGUACCAUAAGUCGGGCGUGAAAGGCA
rnacentral:rRNA from 1 species